rnacentral:rRNA from 4 species
GGAUGAGCCCGCGGCCUAUCAGCUUGUUGGUGAGGUAAUGGCUCACCAAGGCGACGACGGGUAGCCGGCCUGAGAGGGCGACCGGCCACACUGGGACUGAGACACGGCCCAGACUCCUACGGGAGGCAGCAGUGGGGAAUAUUGCACAAUGGGCGAAAGCCUGAUGCAGCGACGCCGCGUGAGGGAUGACGGCCUUCGGGUUGUAAACCUCUUUCAGCAGGGAAGAAGCGAAAGUGACGGUACCUGCAGAAGAAGCGCCGGCUAACUACGUGCCAGCAGCCGCGGCCG